UUCUGGUUGAUCCUGCCGGACCCGACUGCUAUCAGAGUGGGACUAAGCCAUGCGAGUCAACGCAGCAAUGCGUGGCAUACGGCCCAGUAACACGUAGUCAACAUGCCCAGGGGACGUGGAUAACCUCGGGAAACUGAGGAUAAACCGCGAUAGACCAAGGUUUCUGGAAUGGACCAUGGUUGAAACCUAUAUGGCCCCUGGAUUGGACUGCGGCCGAUCAGGCUGUUGGUGAGGUAAUGGCCCACCAAACCUGUAACCGGUACGGGCUCUGAGAGGAGGAGCCCGGAGAUGGGCACUGAGACAAGGGCCCAGGCCCUAUGGGGCGCAGCAGGCGCGAAACCUCUGCAAUAGGCGAAAGCUUGACAGGGUUACUCUGAGUGAUGCCCGUUAAGGGCAUCUUUUGGCACUUCUAAAAAUAGUGUAGAAUAAGGGGUGGGCAAGUCUGGUGUCAGCCGCCGCGGUAAUACCAGCACCCCGAGUGGUCGGGACGAUUAUUGGGCCUAAAGCAUCCGUAGCCGGUUCUGCAAGUCUUCCGUUAAAUCCACCUGCUCAACAGAUGGGCUGCGGGGGAUACUACAGGGCUAGGAGGUGGGAGAGGCAAGCGGUACUCGGUGGGUAGGGGUAAAAUCCUCUGAUCCACCGAAGACCACCAGUGGCGAAGGCGGCUUGCCAGAACGCGCUCGACGGUGAGGGAUGAAAGCUGGGGGAGCAAACCGGAUUAGAUACCCGGGUAGUCCCAGCUGUAAACGAUGCAGCUCGGUGAUGGGUUUGGCUUUGAGCCAACCCAGUGCCGCAGGGAAGCCGUUAAGUCUGCCGCCUGGGGAGUACGGUCGCAAGACUGAAACUUAAAGGAAUUGGCGGGGGAGCACCACAAGGGGUGAAGCCUGCGGUUCAAUGGGAUUCAACGCCGG
rnacentral:rRNA from 1 species